CCUACGGGAGGCAGCAGUGAGGAAUAUUGGUCAAUGGACGAGAGUCUGAACCAGCCAAGUAGCGUGAAGGAUGACUGCCCUAUGGGUUGUAAACUUCUUUUAUAUGGGAAUAAACUGUUCCACGUGUGCGCUUUUGUAUGUACCCUAUGAAUAAGGAUCGGCUAACCCCGUUACAACAGCCGCUGUAAUACGGAGGAGCCGAGCGUUAUCCGGAUUUAUUGGGUUUAAAGGGAGCGUAGGGGGAUUUGUAAGUCAGUUGUGAAAGAUUGCGGCUCAAACGUAAAAUUGCAGUUGAAACUGGCAGUCUUGAGUACAGUAGAGGUGGGCGGAAUGCGUGGUGUAGCGGUGAAAUGCUUAGAUAUCACGAAGAACGCCGAUUGCGAAGGCAGCUCACUGGACUGCAACUGACACUGAGGCUCGAAAGUGUGGGUAUCAAACAGGAUUAGAUACCCGGGUAGUC
rnacentral:rRNA from 1 species